AUUGAACGCUGGCGGCAUGCCUUACACAUGCAAGUCGAACGGUAGCGGGCCUUCGGGUGCCGACGAGUGGCGAACGGGUGAGUAAUGUAUCGGAACGUACCUUUCAGUGGGGGAUAACGUAGCGAAAGUUGCGCUAAUACCGCAUAUUCUGUGAGCAGGAAAGCAGGGGAUCGCAAGACCUUGCGCUGAUUGAGCGGCCGAUAUCAGAUUAGCUAGUUGGUGAGGUAAAGGCUCACCAAGGCGACGAUCUGUAGCGGGUCUGAGAGGAUGAUCCGCCACACUGGAACUGAGACACGGUCCAGACUCCUACGGGAGGCAGCAGUGGGGAAUUUUGGACAAUGGGGGCAACCCUGAUCCAGCCAUGCCGCGUGAGUGAAGAAGGCCCUCGGGUUGUAAAGCUCUUUCGGCCGGGGAGAAGUCGCACGGGCUAAUACCCUGUGUGGAUAACGGUACCGGAAUAAGAAGCACCGGCUAACUACGUGCCAGCCGCCGCCGUAACAC
rnacentral:rRNA from 1 species